CCCACAGGGGCCCCAUGGGGCCAGGGAUCCGCGCCGCCGCCGGGAUGCUGCUGCUGCUUCUUCAUCGCCUGCUCCGCCGCCUCGCACAGCCGGCCCGGGCCAGGAAAAGAAACUUGAUUCUCCUCCUGUAUCCCAUGUGAGCUGUCUAUGAAAGGCCAAUAACUGGGUGCAAAGGUACAGGUUCAAGGCUCAGCCGAGAUGGUGAAAGAGCAAACGGUGUGAGUUAUAAUUAAACAUGCCGGACAGAGCCAGGCUCAGAGCCCGGACUACCCUCAGAGAGACGCAGAGGUCGCUUUCUUGCUCUUCCUGGUUCUGCAACUUGUCUACGGCGGAGGAGAGACUAGACACAAGUGCGAGGUACACAGCGGGUUCAAGAAGGUCCUUGCCCUCGCAGAUAUGAAAGGGAAAGAGCCCCGUCCCCUUAUAUACCUCUUUUAUUGCUGCCUCUUCUUCCCUUCCUGGGGAAGCUUCUGGAACCUGCUGCGGAGCAUCGCAGACGCUGAUCCCCUGAUGGGCUGGGUGACUCACGAAAGGGUUGCGCUCAUCAGCCACACUUGAAGCCAGAAUAAUUUAUCAUUAUAUAAGAAGCUGUAACACCAGAGGUUUCGUGACUUGCCUAAGAUCACAGAGACAGUAGGAGUAGGAGGCUUCUAUGACUUUCCCAAGGUCACAGAGAUAGCAGGAGUUGAGUAGGUAGCCGCAGUCAAAUCUAUUGACCCUAAGCCCACUACACCAACCUUGCAACACUACAACCACAUUGCAAGGUGGCUCUCCUUGUCCUCUGCAUGGGGAUUGGAGGAUGAGAUAUAACCCAUUUAGCCUAGGGCUCAUUGAGAAAGAGGAACCUCAAUUUUUAGUUCCUCUUGUCUCUGGGUCCCAACUCAUUCUGAAUUUUCCAGUUACAAACAACCUGAUUAAAAGGUAGAGUCAGGAGCCAAGAACCUCUGUAAUUCCAAAAUAGUGUUCUGAAAGCCUUUAUAAAGUUGGAUAACUGAAGAAUUUUCUAUGGAAAAUUAGGGAAUUUGAUCCUGAGACCAAGAAUUUAAAAUUUAAGAAUAAAGUGGCUUAACCAUAAUCCAUACAUGAGCAUCUCUGUUUCCCAUUUGUAACAUGGGUGGGGAAGACACAAAGACUAGAGUUAUUAAAGAGGUGGGCAUUGUCACAUGCAUCCACUCAGAUGUGUGCAUUCACACAAAUUCUGGCAAUUUUACACUGUCCUGGCCCACUUUCUAAGGGAUAGGAAGGCUGCUUUGGGACCCCAAGAAAAGGGAAACCUUCUUAGUUUAACACUCCCAAAUAGAGUGUGAAUGUUUCACGUUUACUUCAUGAAUCUGAGAUUUAUCUGGAUUAAUGCACACAGAGAAAGGUGAAUGCCCCUGAGAGAAUUAAGUCAAUCAGCUAUUACCCAUAAUGUUAUCAGUACAACGAAUAGCCCAGAAGAGAUUCCCAAUUAAUAAUUUCUGAGAGACUAGGAGGUGGGAGUUGCUAAGCAAUUUCCAUAAUGUUUUGGAGACCACCUUUGACAAACUGGGCCUGUACUUAAGGUGUGGCCCCAUAACCUGAAUGUUUACUAGAUUUAAAACUGCAAGAACCCCUGUUUUCACAAGGUCCCUCCCACCCAUGGCUUCUAGAGACUUCUCUCAGCACACUUUGGGAAAACCUCCCAAUUCUUUCUCCUAGGGAAAGGAAUCUGAGAAACAGGGAGAUGGGGCAGGAAGAAAGGAAACAAACAUCUGAGAAAAAUAAGUAAAUAUGGGAAUAAAAGUCUAAAAAUAAAACAGUGGAAAGGUCAGGAGGAAAGUACAAGGAGGCAGAGUCCAACUCAGAAGAAACAAACUAAGACAUGAAGAAUUUUCAAGGGUAAAAAAAAAGGUCAAUUUUUAAAAGAUUGUGUUAAUAGACUAGCCGCCCCAAAAAACUCAUGAAGAUAUCAAGAUACAAAGAAGUUUCAGAUGAAGAAGAAAAUGCUUUGUAUUUUCACCCAAUAAAAACUUAAGAUGUUUGGGUAAAACUUUGAUCUUUGAAGUCCAUAAAUGUCCCUUAAAAUUUUUAAAUUUCAAGUACUUGUACUAAUAAAUGGUAUCUCAUCUGUACCAGGUAAUAAAUCCAAUUGUAGAACUUUGUGAAUAA